rnacentral:rRNA from 1 species
AUUGAACGCUGGCGGCAGGCCUAACACAUGCAAGUCGAGCGGAUGAAGGGAGCUUGCUCCUGGAUUCAGCGGCGGACGGGUGAGUAAUGCCUAGGAAUCUGCCUGGUAGUGGGGGAUAACGUCCGGAAACGGGCGCUAAUACCGCAUACGUCCUGAGGGAGAAAGUGGGGGAUCUUCGGACCUCACGCUAUCAGAUGAGCCUAGGUCGGAUUAGCUAGUUGGUGGGGUAAAGGCCUACCAAGGCGACGAUCCGUAACUGGUCUGAGAGGAUGAUCAGUCACACUGGAACUGAAACACGGUCCGGACUCCUACGGGAGGCAGCAGUGGGGAAUAUUGGACGAUGGGCGAAAGCCUGAUCCAGCCAUGGCGCGUGUGUGAAGAAGGUCUUCGGAUUGUAAAGCACUGUAAGUUGGGAGGAAGGGCAGUAAGUUCAUACCUUGCUGUUUUGACGUUACCAACAGAAUAAGCACCGGCUAACUUCGUG